AUUGAACGCUGGCGGCAGGCCUAACACAUGCAAGUCGAACGAGUGGCGGACGGGUGAGUAAUGUCUGGGAAACUGCCUGAUGGAGGGGGAUAACUACUGGAAACGGUAGCUAAUACCGCAUACCAUCGGAUGUGCCCAGAUGGGAUUAGCUAGUUGGUGGGGUAACGGCUCACCAAGGCGACUAUCCCUAGCUGGUCUGAGAGGAUGACCAGCCACACUGGAACUGAGACACGGUCCAGACUCCUACGGGAGGCAGCAGUGGGGAAUAUUGCACAAUGGGCGCAAGCCUGAUGCAGCCAUGCCGCGUGUAUGAAGAAGGCCUUCGGGUUGUAAAGUACUUUCAGCGAGGAGGCGUUACUCGCAGAAGAAGCACCGGCUAACUCCGUGCCAGCAGCCGCGGUAAUAC
rnacentral:rRNA from 1 species